UACAGAGGGUGCAAGCGUUAAUCGGAAUUACUGGGCGUAAAGCGUGCGUAGUCGGCCAUUCAAGUCGGGUGUGAAAGCCCCGGGCUCAACCUGGGAAUUGCAUUCGAUACUGUGUGGCUAGAGUUCGGCAGAGGGAAGUGGAAUUUCCGGUGUAGCGGUGAAAUGCGUAGAUAUCGGAAGGAACAUCAGUGGCGAAAGCGACUUCCUGGACCAGAACUGACGAUCAGGCGCGAAAGCGUGGGGAGCAAACAGG
rnacentral:rRNA from 1 species